UACGGGGGGAGCAAGCGUUGUUCGGAUUUACUGGGCGUAAAGGGCGCGUAGGCGGCCUGUGCAAGUCAGUUGUGAAAUCUCCGAGCUUAACUCGGAACGGUCAACUGAUACUGUGCGGCUAGAGUGCGGAAGGGGCAACUGGAAUUCUCGGUGUAGCGGUGAAAUGCGUAGAUAUCGAGAGGAACACCUGCGGCGAAGGCGGUUGCUGGGCCGACACGUGACGCUGAUGCGCGAAAGCCAGGGGAGCGAACGGG
rnacentral:rRNA from 1 species